GCCGCUACACUGUAAAACCUUCCCUCUCCUACAAAGUUAAUUCACACAAGUAUUAAUCUUUUUUCUUAAUUAUGAGCCCCUAACCUCCAAAUUCUUGUAAACAUCAAAAUCUGUUUUAGCAAAAGAAAAGGUGAAUGACUUAAAGCCCAAUCUGACGAGAGAGAAUCCUAUUGUGAAGGUUGUAUUUCCGUGGAAAACUGAGGGAGAAGAAGCGAUGAAGUUCUGGGAUUGGUACUUGAAGAUAGCUGUUGGGUCAGCGAUGGUUGGAGGUUCAAUGGAGCUUUUCAUGAUCAAAACUGGUUUCUACGAUAAAGUAGCAGUUUUGGAGUCAGAGAAGAGGGCUUGGGAGAGUUCGCCUGAAGCUCAGGCCAUGAGAGACGCUCUCAAUCCUUGGCGGCAUCAAGAGAAGGAAGCCGAAAAGAGUUCCUAGUCGCGUUAGAACGGUCUUGAGUAAGGUUUGCAUCUCUUCUACAGUUGAUGAAAUUUAUGAAAAACCAAUUCUCUUACAUUACACCCUCAGAGUUAUCUUCCCUUGUCUGCAGAAAGCAGGCAAUUUGUUCCAAGGCAUAAUAUUCUGAAUUGAAAUUGGCAGAUCAUAAACUCAAUUACUGCCUUUGUUGCAGGCUUUAUUGUUGAAAUCGACUGACUGGUUUGAGUUAAGAUGGCGAGUUUAUGUUGAUAGAUAUUUGUUUGAAUGCAUCAUGUUUUCAUACAUGAUGUCAUUUGCUCAUAACGCUUCCGUUAACAUAGUAUUUCAGUUGAGUUCACGUAUUGUUGAGAUACUAUUCCAUUCGAGUUUAUGUGACUUUGAAUCUAUUCUAGUUAUUUUCAUUAUUGCUAGCCA